rnacentral:snRNA from 1 species
GGAUGGGAGUGCGAUCUGGCUGCGGCAUGUCACACUACUGAUCACCAGGGUUGAUUUGGCUGACCUGUCUAAGCACAUGUCCCCUUCCUCCCUCCUGAAGCUGCAGCCCAACUCACGAGGGCUUUCCCCAUAAAACAGGGCCAGCCUUUGGUCAAGGGAAUGCUAGCACUCUGUGUUUUCCUGUUCAGACCUCCAGACAAGCCCUCAGGUGUACAACAUGUCCACAGGCCACCCACUGCUUACUCU